UAAGUCAGAUGUGAAUUCCCCGAGCUUAUCUUGGGAACUGCAUCUGAAACUGGCAUGCUAGAGUCUUGUAGAGGGGGGUAGAAUUCCAGGUGUAGCGGUGAMAUGCGUAGAGAUCUGGAGGAAUACCGGUGGCGAAGGCGGCCCCCUGGACAAAGACUGACGCUCAGGUGCGAAAGCUUGGUGAGCAAACAGGAUUAGAUACCCUGGUAGUCCACGCUGUAAACGAUGUCGACUUGGAGGUUGUGCCCUUGAGGCGUGGCUUCCGGAGCUAACGCGUUAAGUCGACCGCCUGGGGAGUACGGCCGCAAGGUUAAAACUCAAAUGAAUUGACGGGGGCCCGCACAAGCGGUGGAGCAUGUGGUUUAAUUCGAUGCAACGCGAAGAACCUUACCUACUCUUGACAUCCAGAGAAUUCGCUAGAGAUAGCUUAGUGCCUUCGGGAACUCUGAGACAGGUGCUGCAUGGCUGUCGUCAGCUCGUGUUGUGAAAUGUUGGGUUAAGUCCCGCAACGAGCGCAACCCUUAUCCUUUGUUGCCAGCGAGUAAUGUCGGGAACUCAAAGGAGACUGCCGGUGAUAAACCGGAGGAAGGUGGGGAUGACGUCAAGUCAUCAUGGCCCUUACGAGUAGGGCUACACACGUGCUACAAUGGCAUAUACAAAGAGAAGCGAACUCGCGAGAGCAAGCGGACCUCAUAAAGUAUGUCGUAGUCCGGAUUGGAGUCUGCAACUCGACUCCAUGAAGUCGGAAUCGCUAGUAAUCGUAGAUCAGAAUGCUACGGUGAAUACGUUCCCGGGCCUUGUACACACCGCCCGUCACACCAUGGGAGUGGGUUGCAAAAGAAGUAGGUAGCUUAACCUUCGGGAGGG
rnacentral:rRNA from 1 species